rnacentral:tmRNA from 1 species
GGGGCUGACUUGGAUUUCGACAGAUUUCUUGUCGCACAGAUAGCAUGCCAAGCGCUGCUUGUAAAACAGCAACAAAAAUAACUGUAAACAACGCAGAUUACGCUCCAGCUUACGCUAAAGCUGCGUGAGUUAAUCUCCUUUUGGAGCUGGACUGAUUAGAAUUUCUAGCGUUUUAAUCACUCCAUAACCUUAAGCUAGACGCUUUUAAAAGGUGGUUCGCCUUUUAAACUAAGAAAAAGAACUCUUGAAACUAUCUCAAGGUUUUAGAAAGUUGGACCAGAGCUAGUUUUAAGGCUAAAAAGCUAACCAAUUUUCUAAGCAUUGUAGAAGUUUGUGUUUAGGACAAGAUUUUUGGACUGGGGUUCGAUUCCCCACAGCUCCACCA